UUUGAUAACAGUUGCAGAUUUUCUCCUCGUUCAUCAUUUAUUUUUGACUUUGCUUGUGGUUUCCUGUUUUGCCUUGUAAAACGUUCUUUAGUGGUGAAAUUUAUCUACUUAUUCUCAAUUUCGACUUAAAAUUAGGAAGGUGUUUGUUACUCUGAGGUUAAGAAUAAAUUUGUUCCUGCUUUCCUCUAAUAUUUUCGCUGUUUAACUUCUUUCCCUUUAUUUUGAGGGGUGCUGGGAGGUAUGGGUGUCGUUUUAUUUUUUUCCAUAGAUCUAUUUAGGUAUCUCAACACCGUUUUAUUAAAAAAAAGUCCAUCUUUGCCACCUUUAUCGUUUCUUAAAGCUCCCGAGGGUAGCUGGUUCCUACAGAUAGCAAGCAACUCACCCAGGAGCAUGCCUUUAAAAUGCAAAGUCACCAAUCCAGACCCCACACCCCACCCUGCUCCUCCACGGGGCUCUUGUGCUCUGCGUCACCAUCCCCCUGCCCUAAUUUCCGGGGAUCAGGACCAGAGAACUAGGGACAGCCCCUACGCUCCAGAACCUGCUGAAAUUAUUCACACUAACCCAUCCCAAGCCCGCUCACCCUGCCUUCCCCAUUCCUUCCUGUGCAAAGCCCAAUAAAAUCUCUUGUCUGCUUUUCCCCACUCCCUCUGCCUCCCGACCGACUCUGGUGGGUCCCCGUGUGGCCCUGCAUGCCGUGGCAGGCCCCCAUCUCUUGGGAGCUCUGAGGAACAGACUCACCGUUCAACGGCGGUCAUCUCCGGGUCUCUUGGCCUCGUCGUACCUGAAUAAUAAUAAAUCUUAUGUUUGCAACACAACCUGAGAAAUGCAUUCUGCCCAGCGCUGCCCGAGAGUCGCAUCCACAGCUGUCCAUGGUGUGGGUCGUUUGGACCUGCCUGCAAAUCAUCUUGGCAGCAUAUUCCUGCAAAGGCCGCCGCUGGAGAUGGGCAGGAGUUUAUUAGGUAUCUUGACCGGGCCCUAAUGACUCAGGGCUCACCCACCGUGCCACAGCCCCACAUCCCGAGCCUACAGGAAUCCAAGAGGAACCCAACCGCGAAUACUGAACCGCGAAUACUGAACCGCGACUCCCAUUGGUAUCACACGCUCUCUUACGACUCCGUUCUUACAAACGUGUAUUCUGCUCUGAAAACUGACCUUCGUGUGUUUUCUUCUUCUUCUUCUUCCGCAGUUUUCUCCCCACAACCUGACCGUGUGGCUAUAGUGACCGGAGGGACCGACGGAAUUGGCUAUUCGACGGCCAAGUAUCUGGCGAGGCUGGGCAUGCACGUUAUCAUAGCGGGAAAUAACGAGGACAAAGCCGGCGAAGCUGUGAGGAAGAUAAAAGAAGAAACCUUGAAUGACAGAGUGGAGUUUCUAUACUGCGAUCUGGCGUCUAUGCAGUCGAUCCGGCAGUUCGUGCAGAAGUUCCAGAGAAAGAGGAUCCCUCUCCACGUCCUGGUCAAUAACGCCGGGGUCAUGAUGGUGCCGCAGAGGAAGACCGUGGACGGCUUUGAGGAACACCUGGGCUUGAACUACCUGGGCCACUUCUUGCUGACCAACCUCCUCCUGGACACCCUCCGGGACUCGGGGUGUCCCGGCCGCAGCGCGAGGGUGGUGACCGUCUCAUCGGCCACGCACUACGUGGGCGAGCUCAACCUGGCCGACCUUCAGGGCAGCAGGAGCUACUCCCCGCACGGGGCCUACGCCCAGAGCAAGCUGGCCCUGGUCCUCUUCACUUAUCACCUCCAGGGGCUGCUGGCCGCCCAGGGCAGUCCCGUGACCGCCAACGUGGCCGACCCCGGCGUGGUCGACACCGACCUCUACAAACACGUCUUCUGGCCCACGCGUCUGGUCAAGAAGCUGUUCGGCCGGUGGUUCUUCAAGACCCCGGAGGAGGGAGCCUGGACCUCCGUCUACGCGGCCGUCGCCCCGGCCCUGGAAGGGGUCGGCGGCCGCUACCUUUACAACGAGAAGGAGACCCGGUCGCUCGCCGUCACCUACGACCUGAAGCUUCAGCGACAGCUGUGGGCCAGGAGCUGCCAGAUGACCGGCAUCCCGGACGGGACGGGGGGCGUCUUCCCGGCGUCGCUGCCACGGCGGGAGGAAUAGGCGUUCAGGUCCAGGCAACUCAUCCUCCAUCAGCACGAAGGCCACUCUCUAUGACCUGGAAGUGGGCCCGUGGGCGGGCGAGUCCUUGGGGUUCCUUCCAGUUGGCUCCUAUAGGAGUUCAACGUGGCCCCCCCCAAAACACACGUCUGCGUCCCAACCCCCACGACGCGUGAAUGUGAUCCCGUUUGGAAAAAGGAUCAUUGCGGAUGUCCUGAAGACCUCACGACGGGGAGAUCAUCCCGGUUCAUCCACAUGGACCCACCCGCCAGGCAAGGACGGUUCGAUCGUCUCUCUGAGGAUGAGUAUCGAGUCCUCAACACCCGACGUGGAGAGAUGAGCCGUUUCUGGAGGGGUUCCCAUGCGCCCCGCAGCCCCCCGAUCGUAAGAUUCCACGCCGCUCAGAGACGCUUCUCAGGAGCUAAUGGAAUCGCGUGGACGGCGGGCCUCCCCGGACACUGUGGCCGCCGGAUGAUUUCCUGCUCUCCCGUCCGUGUUGUGAUGCUUUAAUAAGAUGCUUUACAAAUGUAUUCAUCCAGCAUUUUCAAUUGGUUUCAGCAGGAGCGUUGGGUCAAAUGACCUAAUCUUCCACGUUGCCAGAAAUAGAACUCAUAUUAAAAGACUUCAGCAUGACAGAUUAAGAAGACAAGAAGAGAAGAAGGAUUUAAAUUAUAUAACGCAAGGAAAAUCUCCUGGGUGCAUAGGCAAAUCCGUAUCCAUAAAAAAUAAAUUACGUUUUGAAACCACAUAUUAGCCGAAAAGGAAAACAAUAAUUCCAAACAGUGGAAACAUAACCAACCAUAUUUUUGGCCAUAAUGUCGUAACGUUAGAGUUUAAUCAUAAAAUAUCAACAAACGAAAACUGCCAUCCAACUGGAAUUUUAAAACCCUCUUUCAAAGGUCCUUGGGUCGGACAAAAGGAGGUUAAAACGAGGUGAUCACCAUUUCAGCACUUUGCGGGAUGUGGCUCAUGUUACUUUGGGGAGGAAAAUCGACAUUUUCAGAAUGACUUUCGUUUUUAAAUAAGGAAUGAAGCGUUGGAUUCAGAAGUUUAUGAAGAGAAACGUAAAUCUCGGGAAAGGAGGAGAGUGAAAUCCCUAAUUUAAUAAAGGAGGAAUUUCGUAAGUGAGGACAUAGGUAAAGAGCAGAACUGGGAAAUAUUUUACUGAUCCUACGAAGCCCAAACUUGUUCCCAGAGAAGACAGGGCCCUAGGAUCGACCGCUCGAAAGCAAAAUGAAGAGAAGAAUAAAGGGCAUCCACCCAAAAUGGACUUGAGAAGCGUACGCUCAUCACAAAAUCCGUGUGGUUUUUGCCAUGGUUCAUGCAAAUAUGUUUGCAAAGCAGGAUAAGAGGGACGAUUGGAGGAAAAAUGUGCAUUAUCAAAAUUUAGAAAAACAAAGCAAAUAUCAGUAAAUCCGUUUCAAUGAGGAAAUUGAGACAGAGCUAAGCCGGCAUCAAAAUGUUGGAGCGCAUCGAAUUGUUAAGUGAGUUCUCUGAAUCCUUCAAGGAAUUCUCGGGGUAUUGAUAUGAUUCAGAGCCCGAGAUGAGACGGAACGCUUCCAAAUAAUGUGUGAGGACUUCAUCAGAAUCAUGCCAAAGUUUGAGUUUGAAAGCACAGAAAGAGAGACUGCAGACUUAGGUGAACAUAUUGCAAAUUACAUGAAAAUUCACUAGGCAAAUAGCGUUGCCCACCUCAUCAAAAGAAUGAUACACACGAAAAAGUGAAGAUGGACGGACCGCUGAGACUUAUAUAAUGUUAUAAACCAAUGUGACCUCAAU